rnacentral:tmRNA from 1 species
GGGGCUGAUCGGUUUCGACUUGGGACGUUAGUUCCAGGGGAAGCGGGUCGAGGAGCCAGCGUCAUCUCGUAAACGAUCGCUGGAAACACAUAACUGCCGACAACAAGCAGUCCUUCGCUCUCGCCGCCUGAGCGGUGACCGAAGCGUCAGACAGGGCAUCCGUCUCCGUCCCUGAUCCUGGCGUCGACUAGGAGACUUGCUGAUCGACUCCGUCAGGAGGGUCGAUCGGGACUUUCAUCCUGGCUAGGCCUGUCGGCGACGUGUCAGUGCGAGCGCCGGGGCCGAUAAAACGGCAGCACUGACUGCACCCGGAGAAGACCUGGUUCGGCGCUCGAGGACCGGGGUUCGAUUCCCCGCAGCUCCACGC